CACGUAGGGCGCGAGCGUUGUCCGGAAUUAUUGGGCGUAAAGAGCUCGUAGGCGGCCUGUUGCGUCCGCUGUGAAAGCCCGGGGCUUAACCCCCGGGUCGGCAGUGGAUACGGGGCAGGCUAGAGGUAGGUAGGGGAGAAUGGAAUUCCCGGUGUAGCGGUGAAAUGCGCAGAUAUCGGGAGGAACACCGGUGGCGAAGGCGGUUCUCUGGGCCUUACCUGACGCUGAGGAGCGAAAGCGUGGGGAGCGAACAGG
rnacentral:rRNA from 1 species